AAAAAAAAAAAAAGGAGAGAAGGUUAGCACUCCCCUUGACAGAGAUGGAAGAGGCCCUUUGGAUUCGUAAGAAUAUAUUACGUUCUCAAUAAGGUUUAGU
ensembl:snRNA